CCCGUGUGCGCGCGCGCGUGCGCGCGACCCGCUCACGCGCGCGUGUGUAUGUACAGUAUGUGCGUGAGUUUUUAAUUUAAAAUGUCUUAACUUAACUCGGAAGGAUCUGAAUCACAGGUCAUUUCAUCUGAGAUCAUUCCGCAUGUAACAGCCGGAAUCACUCACUGUUUCCCACAACGACACGAGUCAUCAGCCGUUUCCUCAAGGUCACGUCAGAGGGGUGGAGAGGCAGACCAGACCACCACCAUACGCGAAGAUGAGCCUCGAGGCUUGACAGUUAUUUUUUCAAACUGAGGAGUUCGGACUCCGGACCGUCAUUUCUGCUUGUUUGUACCCUGAGAUAACCAUGGUUAAUAAAUGGUCAGACACGUCACUGGCUUUAAAAUAUAAACCCCAUUGAUGCAAAAAGAUGCUGCAUGGAAUGACAAUGUAGUUUGGAACAGACUUGGUGAAGAACAUGGAAACAUCUCUUAAUAAAAUGGCCCCAAACAUCAUCAGGAGUGCAAAAGAAGGAAGUAAAAACAUCUCUACGCCAAUCUCAUUGGAGAGGAAACCACAGAAGGUCUGGUGAGGAAUGCUGCACUUAUGUUAUUGCCAGCAUUAUUUCAAGAAAAUCCCAGCUUCCUUUACUGUGUAAAUAGUGAACCCAAAGGUCCCACACCAACCAUAGUGUUCAACGGCUCUCCUGAUCUUUUCAAAUCUGAAUGUAUCAACUUUAUAAUUGACAAUGUGAACUUAAUAUGUGGAAGACAUUGACAUCACAGGCUGUGGAAUGACUGUGUCACAGGUCGGAGAAGCGGACCGCCCCUGUCGCGGAUCACGCUCCUCCUAGUUCCACCUCGAGGAGGUCCCAAAGCACCCCAAUGACCAGACAAACCAGAGGGGGAGUAUUACGGGGCCAGGGACGUUGGAGGGGUUUCCACGUGACUCCAGCUGGAACACCGCUACAGAGCGUAUCUGGGUGGGUUGGGCACACACCGUCGCGGCGGCCCCUGAUGGCAUCCACAAGGGUCCAAGACCCUCCUAAGCUCCUAGCCGUAGCAGAACUACGUAUUUCAGCACCCGAAGGACUAACAACCCAGCCGGCAUCUGCAGCGUAUAUCCAACGCGAUCAAACUUCACUCUGACAAGUAACUCCCUAUACACAACCACGCCGUCCUUUUGCCCGGACCAGCCCCGCACUCUUUCCGCCCGCUACCUAGCGGUCGCCGGAUCAGCAGAGCCUGCGGACUCUUCGGAGGCUGGUCUUCGUUGUGCUGCCCAAGGCGGAAGUUGACUCGCCCGAAAAUCGACCCUUCCAGUAACUUCUACCUUCUCUCUUUAUAUCCUCCUCCCAGGCGUGGCUCGCCCAACCAUCGCUCGCCACGUCACUCACACAGCUGUGCCUUGUUUCAGCGAGUGCGGGGAUUCCCGGGGAACCCUGAAGUGCCGGUGUCUGUACAAACCGGUCCGGGCGGAACCUUUUCACUCUCCUUUUGGUUCCGCCCCGCAUAGUCACUCCGUGACAACUAUUUGCGUUUUUUUUUCUCCUCAAUGUUCAAUACCCUUUUGCCAUUAAGCACACAGUGACUUUAAUUUAUAAAAUAUAUGCUUAAGUUUUAAUACCUGUACAAAACAAAUGUACAA